ACGAACGCUGGCGGCGUGCUUAACACAUGCAAGUCGAACGGAAAGGCCCUGCUUUUGUGGGGUGCUCGAGUGGCGAACGGGUGAGUAACACGUGAGUAACCUGCCCUUGACUUUGGGAUAACUUCAGGAAACUGGGGCUAAUACCGGAUAGGAGCUCCUGCUGCAUGGUGGGGGUUGGAAAGUUUCGGCGGUUGGGGAUGGACUCGCGGCUUAUCAGCUUGUUGGUGGGGUAGUGGCUUACCAAGGCUUUGACGGGUAGCCGGCCUGAGAGGGUGACCGGCCACAUUGGGACUGAGAUACGGCGCAGACUCCUACGGGAGGCAGCAGUGGGGAAUAUUGCACAAUGGGCGGAAGCCUGAUGCAGCAACGCCGCGUGCGGGAUGACGGCCUUCGGGUUGUAAACCGCUUUCGCCUGUGACGAAGCGUGAGUGACGGUAAUGGGUAAAGAAGCACCGGCUAACUACGUG
rnacentral:rRNA from 1 species